GGCCCGUCUGGUUGCUAAAGGGUAUACUUAGACUUAUGGUGUUUAUUACUUUGAGACAUUCUCGCCGGUUGCCAGACUGAAUUUUGUUUGCCUUCUUAUUUCUCUUGUUGUCAACCUUGAUUGACCGUUGUUUCAGUUGGACAUCAAGAGUGCAUUUUUGUAUGGUGAUCUACAGGAGGUGUAUAAGGAGUAACCUCCCGGUUAUGUUGCUUAGGGGGAGAGUACAAGUCGUGUGUGUCGCUUGUACAAGGCUAUUUAUGGACUUAAAUAGUCCCCUCGAGCAUGGUUUGACAAGUUCAGUGCCACCAUUGUAACGUGUGAUUUUUCUUAGUGCUAUUAUGACCAUUCUGUCUUUGUUCGUCAUAGAGGUGACAAGCUGGUGGUCUUGGUAGUAUAUGUUGAUGACAUUAUUCUUACUGGUAAUGAUGAUGCAGGUAUUUCUGAAGUAAAGGCUCAUCUCCAACGCCAUUUUCAGACCAAGAAUCUUGGUCAUCUCCAUUAUUUUCUCUGGAUUGAGGUGAUCCGCUACAAGAAAGGGAUCAGUCUGUCUCAAAGAAAGAUUGCAUCAGUACAGGAGUUUGAUUGACAAGCUGAUUUACCUCAUUGUGACUUGUCUUGAUAUUUCUUAUGCUGUUGGAGUUCUUAGUCAGUUCAUGCAGUCUCCUCAGAAAGCCCAUUGGGAUGCUGCUGUCCGUAUUCUUCGCUAUCUAAAAGGUGCCCCUGAAAAAGGGUUGAUUUAUCAUCCUAAUCGGCAUAUGGAACUAGUUGGCUACUCUGAUACUGAUUGGGCUGGCUCUACUAGUGAUCAGAGAUCUACUACUGGAUAUUGUACCUUUGUUGGAGGCAAUCUUAUUACUUAGCGUAGCAAGAAACAGACUACUAUUCCCUGGUCUAGUGCAGAAGCAGAAUACAAAGCUAUGGUUCAUACCACUGCAGAGUUGAUGUGGCUACGAUCAUUACUCUUGGAGUUGGGAUUUCCAAUGACCAAGCUGAUAAAGAUGUAUUGUGACAACCAAGCUGCAGUGUAUAUUACUAGUAAUCCGAUUUUCCACUAGAGGACCAAACACAUAGAAGUGAACUGCCAUUUUGUUCGUGAUGCUGUUCUAAAGAAGCUGAUUGAGACUCCGUUUGUUCCUUCAACAGAUCAGUUAGCUGACAUGUUUACUAAGUCCUUGUUUGCUCAUAGUUUUCGCAGUGGUUGUGCCAAGUUGAGCAUGGGAGAUGUGUAUGCUCCAGCUUGAGGGGUAGUGUUGAGAUUAUAGAAGUCGAGAGACGCUAAUCCCGAUACUGGGAUUAAUUGUAAUUCCCAGGGCGAUAGGGGCAUUCUUGUCCUAUUGGCCCCAGUUAUGGUCUUUAGGGAUAUGGUUAUGUUGGGGAUUACUAUUGUAACCUUCUUUUUUUCUAUUUUUGCUAUAUAUACAUACAGAGGACCUGCGAUCAGCCCAUUCUGGACAGAUCGCAGGUUGCUUUCCCUUUAUGAGACUA